rnacentral:rRNA from 1 species
CGGCGGACGGGUGAGUAACGCGUGGGUAACCUACCCUGUACACACAGAUAACAUACCGAAAGGUAUGCUAAUACGGGAUAAUAUAUUUGAGAGGCAUCUCUUGAAUAUCAAAGGUGAGCCAGUACAGGAUGGACCCGCGUCUGAUUAGCUAGUUGGUAAGGUAACGGCCUACCAAGGCGACGAUCAGUAGCCGACCUGAGAGGGUGACCGGCCACAUUGGGACUGAGACACGGCCCAA